AACUAACGCUGGCGGCAUGCCUAACACAUGCAAGUCGAACGAGACCUUCGGGUCUAGUGGCGCACGGGUGCGUAACGCGUGGGAACCUGCCCUUAGGUUCGGAAUAACUCCCCGAAAGGGGUGCUAAUACCGGAUAAUGUCUUCGGACCAAAGAUUUAUCGCCUUUGGAUGGGCCCGCGUUGGAUUAGCUAGUUGGUAGGGUAAAAGCCUACCAAGGCGACGAUCCAUAGCUGGUCUGAGAGGAUGAUCAGCCACACUGGGACUGAGACACGGCCCAGACUCCUACGGGAGGCAGCAGUGGGGAAUAUUGGACAAUGGGCGAAAGCCUGAUCCAGCAAUGCCGCGUGAGUGAUGAAGGCCUUAGGGUUGUAAAGCUCUUUUACCCGGGAUGAUAAUGACAGUACCGGGAGAAUAAGCUCCGGCUAACUCCGUG
rnacentral:rRNA from 1 species